CCUACGGGAGGCAGCAGUGAGGAAUAUUGGUCAAUGGACGCAAGUCUGAACCAGCCAUGCCGCGUGCAGGAAGACGGCUCUAUGAGUUGUACACUGCUUUUGUACGAGGGUAACCGCAUAUACGCGUAUCUGUCUGAAAGUAUCGUACGAAUAAGGAUCGGCUAACUCCGUGCCAGCAGCCGCGGUAAUACGGAGGAGUCAAGCGUUAUCCGGAUUUAUUGGGUUUAAAGGGUGCGUAGGCGGUCGGAUAAGUUAGCGGUGAAAUCCCGAGGCUCAACUUCGGAAUUGCCUUUGAUACUGUUCGGCUAGAGAGUAGUAGCGGUAGGCGGAAUGUAUGGUGUAGCGGUGAAAUGCUUAGAGAUCAUACAGAACACCGAUUGCGAAGGCAGCUUACCAAGCUACUUCUGACGUUGAGGCACGAAAGCGUGGGGAGCAAACAGGAUUAGAUACCCUUGUAGUC
rnacentral:rRNA from 1 species